rnacentral:rRNA from 1 species
UACGUAGGGGGCAAGCGUUGUCCGGAAUCAUUGGGCGUAAAGAGCGUGUAGGCGGCUUGGUAAGUCCGUUCUGAAAGCCCGGGGCUCAACCCCGGGAGGCGGAUGGAUACUGCUGAGCUCGAGUCCGGAAGAGGCGAGUGGAAUUCCUGGUGUAGCGGUGAAAUGCGCAGAUAUCAGGAGGAACACCAAUGGCGAAGGCAGCUCGCUGGGACGGUACUGACGCUGAGACGCGAAAGCGUGGGGAGCAAACAGG